rnacentral:lncRNA from 1 species
ACCAACAGCGACCAAAAAAAGACCAGCAGAUGGGCCAGCACAGCAUAUCUGCCCACUUCCAUGCCCAGCUCUGCACAGGAAGCGCAAGCACUGUGCUGGGAGAGAGCACAACCAUGGCAGCCAGGCUGAGGAAUCUGCGGACCAAGUCCAGGAGGAGUUUACACACAAGGCCAAGAAGAGCUGCAAAGCCUUGCCCAACUUCCCCGUGUCUCUGUCCCGGGAAGGCCUUCCAUCCACCGCAGCAAAUGGCAGCAAGCAGGCUCAGCCCAGCUGCGCUCCUGCCCCGGGUUUGGCUGCCAAACUGCAGAAGACUGCAGGAAGCUGCAAGACAGAUGGGCCAAGCACAGGCAAAGAGGGGAUCUUCCAACCUGCCUCUCUUCUGCAAAACUGUGCUGUGAGCCAGAAACCAUCAGGGAAACGAAAGAGCAAAACCAAACAUCUGGAAGUGCAGCAAAGCAGAAAGAGGUCCUUCCUCAGAAUGGACGACCCCUUUGACACAGCAAGUACCUGUGAUGUGGUCACCAUACCAACGAAGGUCGUGAAGCUCUCGGAGCCCACCAUGCACUGCAGCUCCUCACCGGCCACACGAUGAGCUUCCCUUCAACACCCACCCGUACCCCAACACCUCCUUCAGGCUGUUCAUUAUUAAUGUUUUCAUUUAAUUUCUUUAUAGUGUUGUUUGUACAAGGUAUGGUUACUUUUUUAGGUAUAGCAGUUCAAAUGCAAUUGUUUCUAUAUAGAAAAGUCACUGUUAUAUAUUAAAAUCUCUUUCCAUUAUAUAAGUAAUAAGAAUUGCUGUACCCCAACAGCUCCUUCAUGCUUUUCAUUAUUACUGUUUUCACAUUAUUACUUUAUAGAAUUUAAGGUAGAAUAUAUAGUUACUUCUUUAGGUAUAGGUGUUCAAAUUACAUUUUAUCUGUGUUGAAAAUACAUUGUUAUAUAUUAAAAUCUCUUUCCUUUAGAUAAGAAAUCAUAUUUGCACGUGUUUUUGGGGGGGGGAUGGGGUUAAAAAAGGCACUUUUUUAUGUUGUGUUAUGUUAUGUAUCUUAUGAUUAUUUUGUCGUUGUUGUUGUCAAUAAAAUGAAUUGAAGAUGAGAUGGAUGGAUCAGAUGAUCUCAGUGGUCUUUUCCCACCUCUAUAAGUAAGACUUAUCCCCAUGGUCUGAGCAUCCAAAU